GACGAACGCUGGCGGCGUGCUUAACACAUGCAAGUCGAACGGAAAGGCCCUGCUUUUGUGGGGUGCUCGAGUGGCGAACGGGUGAGUAACACGUGAGUAACCUGCCCUUGACUUUGGGAUAACUUCAGGAAACUGGGGCUAAUACCGGAUAGGAGCUCCUGCUGCAUGGUGGGGGUUGGAAAGUUUCGGCGGUUGGGGAUGGACUCGCGGCUUAUCAGCUUGUUGGUGGGGUAGUGGCUUACCAAGGCUUUGACGGGUAGCCGGCCUGAGAGGGUGACCGGCCACAUUGGGACUGAGAGACGGCCCAGACUCCUACGGGAGGCAGCAGUGGGGAAUAUUGCACAAUGGGAGGAAGCCUGAUGAAGCAACGCCGCGUGCGGGAUGACGGCCUUCGGGUUGUAAACCGCUUUCGCCUGUGACGAAGCGUGAGUGACGGUAAUGGGUAAAGAAGCACCGGCUAACUACGUG
rnacentral:rRNA from 1 species